rnacentral:lncRNA from 1 species
AAAUGAGAACUGAAGGUCAGAGGAAAUGUGCAAGAGGUUUAAUAAGAAUUAGUGACUACUAGCCAUUAGGCAUUAAUUAAUUAAUUAUAAUUAAUUGAGCAAUGUAGGAACUUCCAAUAUUUUUCAAUAUUUUACUAUCUAUGUGAAUGGGGACAAUUCAUUAUAAAUAUAAAAUUAUCAAUGUUGUUCCAAAGUCAGAGACUUGAACCAUAUUUUUGGUCCAAGACCAUGUUAGUUAUGGGUUGUCUUCUUUUUCCAAAGAUAGAGUCUUGGGACUUCUGUUUCCUGCAUGCAAAGAUGGAAGAAAAGGAACCAAACAGAAAAUACUACAAACCAAAAUUGCCCUUCUGAUCAUGCAUAAACAUUUUAAAUGGAAAAUGUGUUUCCUGUACACUUAAGAUUCAAAUAAACCUGAGGAAGGCAAAGAGAUCUGUACACAGGAGUUUAUUUUGAUGACACAAGUUUUAAAUCACUCCCCUUUACAUCCCAAACCACUGUAUCAUUUGCGCCAGUUGAAUUACCAUUGGGUUUACAACAUGUCUUACAAAAUGGAUUAGUGAUGCUGUUCACAAAUGGCCUUUGCAAGGAUUCUAUUAAAAACACAUUAUAACACCAUUGUUAAAAACAAUGUAAAUAUAAGGGUUGCUAAAACAGAGACAAAGAAAAAAAGGAAAUUUUGUUGACAUGGAGUCAUACAAAAUAGGGCAACCUUUGCUUUCUUCAGAGUACAGGAAUCUUGCAAACACACACUCAGAUAUGCUGAAAUUACAGUCAAAUGCAGUGACAUUUACACCAUUCCCUGUAAACGCUAACAUGAUACAAACAGAAACAAAUUUAGUCAUGAUGGCAUAUGUAAUGGAGGAUGGCAGACUUUAUUAUGCUAAAGCAACAACACGGGGGAGAGAUUAGAAACUCGUGUAUACUAGUGUAACUGAUAUCAAAAUCUUCCCCAUUUGCUUACAGUCAAUAAGUGUAAAGCCCUUUGUUUUAUUGACUGCUACACAACUGUGACUGAAUUACACCCACAUCCUGUAUUUGUCAUUUGACUUGCAAACGACAACACAUUGCUACGCCUAAUGUUGACAGGUGGCACGGUUUCCCGUGUAUGUUCUGGAGUGGUGCUGAUGAAAACAGUGUCAUUCUUUCUCUCUCUCUCCACACAGGAAUUUUGCUGUUAGCUUAUUUGUCUGCAAAAGAAAAGUGCUUUUUGCCACUUCAUUAAACUUGUGACAUUAUUCCAUUUUAUUCCCCCCUCCCCACCGCAAUAAAGAUUGGCUGAGACUUGAUUACUUCCA